UGGGUAACCUGCCUCAAAGAGGGGAAUAGCCUCCCGAAAGGGGAGAUUAAUACCGCAUAAUAUGUUUUAGUCGCAUGACUUAAACAUCAAAGGAUUUUCUUUUAGAAAUUCCACUUUGAGAUGGACCCGCGGCGCAUUAGCUAGUUGGUGAGGUAACGGCUCACCAAGGCAACGNUGCGUAGCCGACCUGAGGAGGGUGAUCGGCCACAUUGGAACUGAGACACGGUCCAGACUCCGUAGGAG
rnacentral:rRNA from 1 species